rnacentral:rRNA from 1 species
CUACGGGAGGCUGCAGUGGGGAAUAUUGCACAAUGGAGGAAACUCUGAUGCAGCAACGCCGCGUGGAGGAUGACACUUUUCGGAGCGUAAACUCCUUUUAUAUAGGAAGAAGAUGACGGUACUAUAUGAAUAAGCGCCGGCUAACUCCGUGUCAGCAGCCGCGGUAAUACGGAGGGCGCAAGCGUUACUCGGAAUCACUGGGCGUAAAGAGCGUGUAGGCGGAUUAAAAAGUCAGAAGUGAAAUCCUAUAGUUUAACUAUAGAACUGCUUCUGAAACUCUUAAUCUAGAAUAUGGGAGAGGUAGAUGGAAUUUCUGGUGUAGGGGUAAAAUCCGUAGAGAUCAGAAGGAAUACCGAUUGCGAAGGCGAUCUACUAGAACAUUAUUGACGCUGAGACGCGAAAGCGUGGGGAGCAAACAGGAUUAGAUACCCUCGUAGUC